GACUUCAUAUUUUUAAAAUCAUUAAAACACUGUCUCUCAUUCAUGAAAUGAGCCACUAGUUCCUAUUUAAUACCUUUGGUUAAGAAAGAUAUAGACAUUGUGUUUUUUGUUUUUUUGUUUUUUUGAAUUCUGGUCAUAUUUAGUCCUUUGGACCAGUGGAAUACCUUCAAAGCAAUUUGAAGCGGUCUUGCUCUUCUUACUCCCUGCAAUGGGAAUUCAAUGUGGUAUUGACAAUAUGAUUUGAAAAGAAUAAAGCAGUCCCCCCAAACCACAGAAGAAUGUGUCAGGAAAUGAAACCACCCGAUGUCAAAAUUAUUUGAAUACUAUGAAGUGUUAUUUCUUUAGCAGAUCAUUCCAGUCACAUCAUAGAGGGGGCUUUUCUGUUCCAUAUAUUUCAGAUUUGCUGGGUUGGUCUCUUUGUUAUCUGUGCAGAAAUCUAAAGUGGGAUGCUGAAAGCGUAUCCACAGCAGCAAUGAUACUGUGAAAAAGGGGUGUUAGUACUCAUUAGGGUAUAUGGAGGAUGAGUCCCAAGAUGCUUCUUCUAAAGGAGGAGAAUAGAAGGGAAUGAUGGGACUCUUGCCAGUGUGCUCAGGGAGUGGCUCGCAUCUGGUGGAAGAUUUCCAGAAGACAACAGGCAAAAGGAAAUGUGGCAAGAACGCCUUUACAAGACUUUAUGUGCUUUAGGGCUCAGCGCUCCAGAACUCUGUGGGUUCAGCUGUGUGUUUACCCUGGAGGUCCAAUGACAUGGAAAAGUAUUUUGGAGUAUGUCUUUUGAGUCCACAUCAAAGUUCUCAAGAUACUCAACAAAGCCUGACCCUGUAAAGCCUGACCUUGUAAUGAGCACAGAUAUUUUUCUGCCUCCGGUUUGGCUCAAAUGGAGUAUGUCUGGGGACCUUGAAGAAGAGCUUUACUGCUGCCCUUACAAUUUGUUCAGUGCCUCGAUUUAUUCAGACGUUAGAGGAGUCUAGGUUGUAGAAGCAGAUGAAAUAGAUCUUGUCCAAGUCCCAUUACUAGUUGGCCUCAGGCAAGUUGCUGACUUUCUAAGACUCUGGCUUUUCAACUAUAAAAUGGAGGUAAUGAUCAUAAUGUACUGGACCAGUGAUGUACUGCUCUGUCCCUAUACUAUAAUCUCCAUCAGGGCAUGGCCCAAAUUUGUCUUUUUUUCAUGCUUGUCCCUGAUGCGUAGUACCAUACCUGACAAAUAAUGUUAGCUAUUAUUAUUAUUGCCAUAUAAAUUUUGUAUAAAGAUUAAACUGGGAAAUGCCCCAAGAAGGGGAAGAAUAUUGUAACACAAAUUUAAACCCACUACCCAGGGAUAAGGUGCUAUAAAAUUUGAGAAUCUCUUAACUUCUGCCAUUUUCCUGUUUUGGAAUAUUUUAGCUUGUAAUGAAAUGUACAGCAUUCUGCCCCCCACUUUUAUGUAUAGAAAGAAGUCUUCUUUAAUUUUUUUUUUUUUUGUGUGUGUGUGAUGUGGGGAGGGAUAGGAAUCCUAUGAUUCCAGACAGAAAAUAUUGUACUUCAGUUGACUUUGAAAUGGGCUUCCAUUCCAUGAAUAUAAUUAACCCAAAGAAGGUCAAACUCGCUAGUACUUGGGUGACAAAAACUCCUGAAUUUUUACUGGCAUGUGUGCUGCAUUGCCAGCCUCUUGGCACACAGAGUUCUUUAAUCCAAGUGACUGGAUUGGAUUUGAAAAUGAUAGAGCUAGAGAAUUUUUAGAAAGGGCAAUGUCAAAACAUAAAUUUCAAAAAUGGAAAGAUUUGAUCUUUGGUAAAAAAAUGGUUUUAUUUUCUGAUGGGAAAAAUAGGUCUACUAAAGAUGAAUCACACUUUAGAUUUCUCUUACUCACUCUGAACAGAGCCAAAGUAGAAAUGUUAACAGGGAAGUCCAUUUUCAUUAUUAGUAUGAGCCAAGAAAUGGUUUAAAAACAGUGGUUGGAGCAAUGCUUUUACAGUUUCACAUAAGGUAAUUAUGAAGAAAAUAAUGUCAUUUGCUGCUAUUAUUGUAAGAGUCUCAUAGUUAAGAGUAUUUCUAUAAUUUUUGAUUGUGAACUCACUUAUGUUGGACUAAGCAUGCCAGUUUAAAGAGACCAAGUGUACAUUAUGUUCUGUGUACUCAGUGGUAAAAUUACUGAACUGUCACGUACCUGUUUUUAAAUUUAUGCUUUAGUAUUUGUCUUUCAAAGCAGGUAUGCUUCAGUUUUGGCCAUGAAUCUGGAGAAAACUUGCUAUUUAAAAAUGGUGUGGGAUAAAUCUUUUAAAGUAAAUCUCCAGUUUAGCUUUUUAAAAAAACCCCAAACUUUCAGAUAGUAGUUUUAUUUCAAGCAAGGUACACUCCUGGUUUGUUUACUUGGCUUUAGUCACAAUUUCUCAUCAGACCAAUGGUUUAGAUCUUUGAGAUGUCAGGCUGUGCAUUUUGUGUGAUGUGACUGUUCUACGAGAGACAUCAAACUUUAGUCUUGACCCCAUCAGUCCCUUGGGUUAACUAACGGAUCCACUAGUUAUCAUGGCUAAUUUAAUGGGGAUGUUGAUGGUUAAAUGGAUGUUACAUCCCUUAUUUCAGCUUUUUGCUCUGCUGGAUAAGAGCCACAGCCCACCUGGGGACUGACCCCAAAGUGUUAAAUUCAAAUACAUUCUGGAGGUUAGAGAUGGUGGCAGUGAUGGACCCAGAACUAGGGUCAUCACUGCUGUAGACCUGUAACUGACCCAAGUCAAGGACAGUGGCAAGGAUUUUCUCAAGUCCUGGGCUGAGUGACUUCUCACUCUAAGCACAUUUGAGGCUCAGGAAAUCUCUCCUAGAGGUAUAUGCAUACUUUCCAACACAUUUCUCCUCAAACAUCACAGACAUGUUUCCAUCUCGGGGCUUUUACACAUACUCUUUCCUUUGUCUGGAAUGUUCUCUUCUGGGUAUCUAUCUGGCUUGCUCCCUCAUUUCCUUCAGGCCUCUGCUCAAAUGUUACUUUCUGCCCUAGUUAAUACCCCCACUUGCCCCACCAACCCUAUAUACUUUCCUUGCUUGCCUUGUUACCAUAGCAUUUCACCAUCUCUUAUGCAAGAUUUUUAAAAACUUAUUUAUUUGUUUAUUGUUUGUUUCCCCAAAGUAGAAUGUAAGAUUCAUGAGGGAUGGAACUUUGCUUUGUUUAUUGCCAUAUCCCCAGUGCCUAGAAAAGUACCUGGCAUGAAAUGUAUAUUUAUUGAUUAAAUGAAUGAACUGCAUACACCUUAUGUAUUAAUGGUCAGCUUAAAUGUACUAAUCAUACUCUGAGAAUGAGAGAAUCAGUUCUGUUUUCUACUUUUCUAUUAAUAAGUUCAAAAAUCCAUUUUAUCAGUGAAACAGGAGGUAAAACAUAUAUAAUACACAGCCGAACUUGAUGAAAGAAAACCUGAUAGAUAGAAGUUCAUUCACAUUUUAGAAAUUUUUGUGCAGUGAUGAAAACCAAUACUGUUAGAAUCAUCUUAAAAGGUCAUGCUAAAUAAGCCACAGACAAGAGUAAGUUGCUUUUCCAUUGAAGUUCCCAAAUUUACUCUUAACAGAGUAUCGACCAUGUUUUAAACAUGACUUUAGACUGAGACUUCUAACACUGUUGCCUUGGUAGUUAAAAUCCCAUCUCACUAUGAACUGCUACUCAUUUCUCUCUCUUUUUUUUUUUUUUUUUUUUUUGACCCCAGCAAAUUCUAUAAAUGCCUUGCCUGGCUAUGAUUCAAAAAGAGCUCACAGAUGAGAAUGCUGGGGAUAGAUAAUUUCAGCUUCUUUAUCUGUCAUGCUCAUAACUGAACACUCUAAUGGCUUGUAACAGUUUAAAAAUAAAAGACCAACAACAAACAAAAUUGUGGCACUUUUAGUAAAUUGAAAAUUCAAAUCAGGUAUGUUAAUCACCACACACACACACACGCACACACACACACGGCUAUCAUCUUGCAGGUAGGGGAAGGCCCUUGAAAAAGAGACACAGAGCUUGUCUGAUAAUUUACAUAGCGGCUCCUAUUUAUUUCAUUGCAAACUCUUCUUUGAAGGUGGCCUGAAGUCAGAUAGGUGUACCAUGAGUUCUUCUCCAAAGUGACUCUUCUUUGUUGAAGCGGAGCUCAUUAAAUUUAAUAAAGGUAAACUUGAAAAAGAUGAGUUUAUAUGCAUCCUCCUACUCCAAAAAAACCCUGAACUUAGCUAAUCACUCAUGAAUUCCAUUGGACAAACCAAUUCAAUCAGAAAGGGACAAGACUGGUAAAAAUCAGCCAUUAAAUGAAUCUGCUCAAUAAGUGCUCCUUUAUUGGGCUAAUAAAAAUAGUGUAACCUAGUUAUGUAAAAAGGUUCUAGCACCUUGAAACCCAAGUUCAAAGUGAAAUCAAAUGCAAACUUAAUAACUUUAACAGAUCUCCCACCAUGUUCUAACUACAUAACUAUUGAGUGAUAUAAUUGCUCACAGCCCUGAAUUACCUUUUUUUCUCUAGUCUGAUAAAAAAUAUGGAUUUUUUUUUAAGCAGUACCCUUUCUCCUCUCUCAUCUUGCCUGUAACAGAGAUAAUGGAUGAGUGAGAAAAAUCAAAGAAACUUCUAGAUCCAUCAUAAUGGAGGCCAAGCCACCACACCAGCAGCAGCAACUGGAAUGGUCUGAGAGUCAUUACUAGACCCUUGUUUGGUUGGUAACUUAUUUGUGUCUCCUAAGUUGAGGCACUGCCUCACUCUUGACUUUUCGUCAGUGGUACUCAGAAGUUUGGUUCUUAAGGAACAAAUCGGCAUGAGUGGAUCUCUCCACUUUCUCUGAUGGCAUCCCAAAUGAAUGGAUGCUUUCCCUUAGAAGAUUCACAGGCUCUCACAACUUAGAAACCCAGACCACUGUCCAGAGCAGAAUGUAGUACACUUUCGCGCUAUUUCUUUUGUUCUUUUCAGGGUGUGUGGACACUUGGGCUCCAUACUUGAAAAAUGCUUGGGAUGAAAUACAGGUGAUCCAAGAAUAUUUUGACUUUUCUAAGCUGACCUCAUUAUUGAGACUACUCAAAAGGCCAGAAUGUAUGCUCUCCAAAGACCAGCUUCGUAUCCUGUUUGCCUGAUUAAAUUGUGAAAGGUGUUGGAGUGCCAGGAAUUCAAGGGGACGAAAAGUCACAGAAGGGUGAAUUUAUCCUAGAGUAGGGGUGGACUAGAUUCUCCUUACAUUGCAUCUUGAUAGUGCUGUCUUGAUGACAGAUUUAAACACUCCUCUGGCUCCAAAGAACAAGUUGUGAGAGCUGGGUGGAAAUGUCAGUUGAAACAGAAGAGCAGCAAACAGCUUUGUUUUCCUAUAGUUGUGGUUUUACUUGGUGAUGAUGACACAUGAAGAUGAAAAUGUGCAGCAUGAACUCCAGUUGUUAUCUGAGUGAGCAUCUCUGCCAACACUGAAGGAUAUGUGUGGGUGUCACCUGCAAGCAAAGAGAGAGAGAAAGAAAAAGAGGCCCUGUUUCGGAAAGAAGAGCCAGUUAAUCAAAGAUCAACAAGUGGUGAUGUUUAUUUCAUGAGCUUUAUCUUUGAUUUCCUUCCCCUCGUUAAUCUUCAAGUCUCAAUUUUGUCUCUGGACUAAAUAUAUAAGUGUCUGGUGAUUGAGGAAGGGGUGGAAAGGUGGGCUUGAAUGGGGAUCAUGGCCAUUACUAUAGUCAUUUGGUCAUUUUUUCGUCUCCUGGGCACAGAUUAACAAUUGAUAUGUUAGCUUCUAAAUGGUAUGUUAGCUUUUAACUUUUGAGAACCUGUGGCAUAUUAUGCAAGGACAGACAAACUUGAGAUUGCUGUUGGGGACCCUUUUUCACUCCCAACCCUGUGCAACUCUUGUUUCACUUGUUUUAUGCUUCUUCCUCCUUCGUUCCUAUUCAUUCGUUCAAUAACUAUUCAACGAGCACCUGCUCAGCUCUAAGAAAUGGGGUAGAUACUGGGUAUGUGGCAGUGAGCAACAUGGACAUUAUUAUCUCCACACUUACUAAAUGUAAGAGGUAGACUUUAUAUAGCCCUUUUCCUUCUUCUUUAAAUACGCUCCUCCUCUUGGUAACCAUUUAGUCUUAAUUAUGGGCUCAGACCUUCAUGUGGCUGUUUGAUAACCUCUGUUCUGUUGGUUUGCUUGAAAUCUAUUUCUUUGAGAUGUUCUUAUUUGACAUUUCUAGUACCUUUAAUGUCUUAGAUGAGGUAUUGAUAAACUUUUUCUGGAAAGGGCCAGAUAGUAAAUAUUUUAGGCUUUGCAACCACAUGGUCUCUUGCAGCUAUUCAACUCUGCCACUGUAGUGCAAAAGCAGCCAUAGACAAUAUGUAAACAAAUGAGCAUGUCUGCAUUCCAAUAAACCUUUAUUUGUAGACAUUGAUACUUGAAUAUCAUGUAACUUUCAUAUGUUACACAAUAUGAGUAUUCUUUUGAUUUUUUUUCCCAACCACAUAUACAUGUAAAAUCCAUUCUUAGCUCAUGGGCUGUUCAAAAGCAGGCUGUGGGCUGCAUUUGGCCUGCAGGCUGCAGUUUGCUGACUUAGACCCACGCCACAAUUUUAGUUACAAUUAUGUCUUUGAGUUCCAGUCACCAUCUGCAUUUUUAGGGCUGGAAGCAAUCAGUUUGGAUGUGUAAAAAGGCUUCUUGGAAGUGGUGAAUGUUAAGCAUCUGUUUUGAAAGAAGGACAUGGAUCAUGCAAGAAGGAAGAAGAAACUUCGUCUGAGGGAAAGUCAUUUUAGGUAGAAGAAAUGGGAAAUUAAAAGUAAAGAUGAGGAGAAGCUGUUUGAAUGAUGAUGCAGUCCCCUGUACAUUAUUGCUAAAAGCCUAAAAAUCUUAGGAAUUGUGGUUACUCUUCUCUCAAGUCCAGUUUGCCUUUUCUCCUCUUUUCUAAGCAUCAAAUCCUUAAAGCAAAUUUUGAGUCACAGCAGGUAGGGGCCAAAAAAUAUGGCCUUGUUUAGUGUAACGAACAGGACCACUUUCACGGUGAACUCUUCCACACGUAGCACAAUCCAAUCCAACAUGGGGUAGGUGCAGCAGAGAUCAGAAGCAGCUGUCUCAGAAUUGGCCCCCUACUUUCUGCCCAUCAUCCAUGAUUUCAAUCUGCACUUGGCUGCCAUUUUAUAGGUGACCAAGAGUGACCACCCCCUGGAAUCCAAACUUUCACAGGGAAGUGGUAAAAUCAGUUUUACUUACAUAAGGAGGACAUUGACCUGGCCCUUACCAUUCUCUCAUCUCCAUUCAUGUCUCUUGUCUACAGCUGCUGGUUACACCCAAGGUACGAACAGUCUCUGGAAGCAGUCCAGCAUAUGUGGGCACCCCAAGUCUUACACCCAUCUGGGCAAUUUAAAAUUAGAGCCAAAUGUAGCAUUUAGUCUGAUCUGUCCAGCCAAGAUGAGGAAAUUGCCUCUAAAAGGUCAGAUGAUUAAGAUCACUGUGCCAAUAGUCUAGGAUGUCAGUAAUGAAUAAAGAUUCUGGCAGAAUGAAUUUAUCCUGACUUUGUAUAUGGCAUUCAAGUUCUGGGUCUACAUGAACAGCCUCAGGAAUUCCAAGAUUUUUCUUUUCCGUCAUGUAGGCCCACUGUGUAUAUUUAUGUGUUGUGUGCCCUGCACAGGGCCCCUAGCCAAAGGGGGGUGAAGGGGGCUGAAAUCCCUUUGGGUCCCCUUAAGCUACUCACCUGCGAGAGCUAUGUCCACCUGCAGAGAGUGCCUUUCUCUACUGCCCACACAUAUGGACUGCUGAGGUCCUGACAGAAUGCUUGCCUUUCUGCUACUUGGUGACUGAAUUCCUUAGAGAAUAAAUUAGGUCCUCAUUCUCAAAACAGAAAUUAUCUAGGAUGAGCAAGAGUUAACAAUCAACCAAAAAAGUGGAAUUGUUCUUAAUACCAUAAAAAUUUCUCUCUUGGGUCCCUUCUUUAUUCUUUUCUGCACUAUUUAUUUAUUUAUUUAUUUUUCUGCACAAUUUAAUUCAGUUGGGUGGUUUUCUCUGAAAUACUUCUUGGUGGGGGGAGGGUGGUUUAGGAGUAAUGUGAGAAGAAACUUCCUGGCUCAGAUCUCAGAGGAAAAAAACCUGUGCCCUGGAGAACACCAGGUUUGGAGUUCUUUCCUGGGCUGUCCUUGGAACUUUUCUGUUAAUGCCAGAAUGUAUUCUUAUUUUGUAGUUCUCAGUACAUGAGGGGCUUGGACUAAAUAACUUCAAGUCUGAUAUCUAUAAUAGAGUGUUGUGUCUGUAAGUGGCAUCUGGAACAGUCAUUUUAGGACUGUGAGAAGAGGAGAGUUAACCCAAAAAGAACACGCAGAGAUACACAGAGUGGGAAGAGAGGAGGAACCUGUGUUCUGAUGACAUCGUUGAGCUGUAGAAUGAACCAACAUUGAAGCUGUUCUUCCUUCAACUUCUUGUCAUGUGAAACAAUAAAUAACUUUAUCAUUUAA